rnacentral:rRNA from 1 species
GACGAACGCUGGCGGCGUGCUUAACACAUGCAAGUCGAACGGACAGGCCCUGCUUUUGUUGGGUGCUCGAUUGGCGAACGGGUGAGUAACACGUGAGUAACCUGCCCUUGACUUUGGGAUAACUUCAGGAAACUGGGGCUAAUACCGGAUAGGAGCUCCUGCUGCAUGGUGGGGGUUGGAAAGUUUCGGCGGUUGGGGAUGGACUCGCGGCUUAUCAGCUUGUUGGUGGGGUAGUGGUUUACCAAGGCUUUGACGGAUAGCCGGCCUGAGAGGGUGACCGGCGACAAUGGGACUGAGAUACGGACCAGACGGCUACGGGAGGCAGCAGGGGGGAGUAUUGCAGAAUGGGCGGAAGUGUGAUGCAGAAACGCCGCGUGCGGGAAGACGGCCUACGGGUGGAAAACCGACGUCGACUGUGACGAAGAGUGAGUGACGGUAAUGGGUAAAGAAGCAACGGCUAACUACGUG